CCUACGGGUGGCAGCAGUGAGGAAUAUUGGUCAAUGGGAGGAAUCCUGAACCAGCCAUGCCGCGUGCAGGACGACGGCUCUACGAGUUGUAAACUGCUUUUGUACCGGGGUAAAAUGCCUUACGUGUAGGGUUUUGAAAGUACGGUACGAAUAAGGAUAGGCUGACUCCGUGCCAGCAGCCGCGGUAAUACGGAGGAUCCGAGCGUUAUCCGGAUUUAUUGGGUGUAAAGGGUGCGUAGGUUGUUUUAUAAGUUAGUGGUGAAAUCCCGAUGCUCAACAUCGGGGCUGCCGCUAAUACUGUAGGACUAGAGAUCGGAUGCAGCAGGCGGAAUGUGUAGUGUAGCGGUGAAAUGCAUAGAUAUUACACAGAACACCGAUUGCGAAGGCAGCUUGCUAGGCCGGAUCUGACACUGAUGCACGAAAGCGUGGGGAUCGAACAGGAUUAGAUACCCGAGUAGUC
rnacentral:rRNA from 1 species